GUCUCUAUAGCUCAGUUGGUAGAGCACGGGACUUUUAAUCUUAGGGUCGUGGACUUGAGCCCCACAUCGGGCA